rnacentral:rRNA from 1 species
UACGGAGAGUGCUAGCGUUGUUCGGAAUUACUGGGCGUAAAGGGCGUCUAGGCGGCGCUUCAAGUCAGAUGUGAAAGCCCUGGGCUCAACCGAGGACGUGCAUCUGAAACUGAAGUGCUCGAGUACCGGAGGGGGCAGCGGAAUUCCCGGUGUAGAGGUGAAAUUCGUAGAUAUCGGGAGGAACACCAGUGGCGAAGGCGGCUGCCUGGUCGGAUACUGACGCUGAAGCGCGAAAGCGUGGGGAGCAAACAGG